rnacentral:rRNA from 1 species
UAGGACUUCUCGGCAAUGGAUAUCUUGGCUCUUGCAUCGAUGAAGAACGCAACGAAAAUGCGAUACGUGGUGCGAAUUGCAGAAUCCCGUGAACCAUCGAGUUUUUGAACGCAAGUUGCGCCUGAGGCCAACUGGCCGAGGGCACGUCCGCCUGGGCGUCAUGC